GAUGAAGAACGCAGCGAAAUGCGAUACGUAAUGUGAAUUGCAAAUUCAGUGAAUCAUCGAGUCUUUGAACGCACAUUGCGCCCCCUGGUAUUCCGGGGGGCAUGCCUGUCCGAGCGUCAUUGCUGCCCUCAAGCCUGGCUUGUGUGUUGGGCCCCGUCCCCCGAUCUCCGGGGGACGGGCCCGAAAGGCAGCGGCGGCACCGCGUCCGGUCCUCGAGCGUAUGGGGCUUUGUCACCCGCUCUGUAGGCCCGGCCGGCGCUUGCCGAUCAACCCAAAUUUUUAUCCAGGUUGACCUCGGAUCAGGUAGGGAUACCCGCUGAACUUAAGCAUAUCAAUAAGCGGAGGA
rnacentral:misc_RNA from 1 species